rnacentral:misc_RNA from 1 species
AUUUUUGUAAAAUGGCAGGCCCAUCAGUUUGUUUUUUUAGUCCAUAAAAAUCUGCUGUUGAAAUGAGGAUGUUCACUCAUUUAAAUGAAAAAUAAGUGCUAUUUUGUUUAGUGACUGUAUGACAGUGCAACAAUACACAAAACAUUGGUUUUUUUUUGGUUUAUUGGUGAUUUGUGUUUACACAAGGAUUUGGAUUAUUCUGAUCUAGAAGCAUAAUAUUAUUUGUAAAUGACUUUCUUUACAAUUAAAUAUACAAUCCUUAAUAUUG